rnacentral:rRNA from 1 species
AGCAGCCGCGGUAAUUCCAGCUCCAAUAGCGUAUAUUAAAGUUGUUGCAGUUAAAAAGCUCGUAGUUGAAUUUCGGGAUUGGCGCAUCGGUCGUGCCUCACGGGGUAUGAACUGGUGCAGUCAAUUUCUCACCUUCUGGAGAACCGCGAUGUCCUUAAUUGGGUGCCGCGGGGAACCAGGACCUUUACUUUGAAAAAAUUAGAGUGUUUAAAGCAGGCAUUUUUGCUUGAAUACAUUAGCAUGGAAUAAUAAAAUAGGACGGCAUGGUUCUAUUUUGUUGGUUUCUAGGACCACCGUAAUGAUUAAUAGGGAUAGUUGGGGGCAUUAGUAUUCAAUUGUCAGAGGUGAAAUUCUUGGAUUUAUUGAAGACUAACUACUGCGAAAGCAUUUGCCAAGGAUGUUUUCAUUAAUCAAGAACGAAAGUUAGGGAAUCGAAGACGGUCAGAUACCGUCGUAGUCUUAACCAUAAACUAUGCCGACUAGGAAUCAGACGAUGUUAAUUUUUAAUGACUCGUUUUGG